rnacentral:rRNA from 1 species
AGCGAACGCUGGCGGCAGGCCUAACACAUGCAAGUCGAACGGACCCUUCGGGGUUAGUGGCGGACGGGUGAGUAACACGUGGGAACGUGCCUUUAGGUUCGGAAUAGCUCCUGGAAACGGGUGGUAAUGCCGAAUGUGCCCUUCGGGGGAAAGAUUUAUCGCCUUUAGGGCGGCCCGCGUCUGAUUAGCUAGUUGGUGAGGUAACGGCUCACCAAGGCGACGAUCAGUAGCUGGUCUGAGAGGAUGACCAGCCACACUGGGACUGAGACACGGCCCAGACUCCUACGGGAGGCAGCAGUGGGGAAUCUUGCGCAAUGGGCGAAAGCCUGACGCAGCCAUGCCGCGUGAAUGAUGAAGGUCUUAGGAUUGUAAAAUUCUUUCACCGGGGACGAUAAUGACGGUACCCGGAGAAGAAGCCCCGGCUAACUUCGUG